UUAGUUUUUUUCCAUGUAACCAAGUUUUACCCUGCUGCAAACACAUGCUCAGUACCAGCUCCCCGGGGAGCAGCUCCUCUCCUGCCUCACACUUGGCCAGGCUGCCCAUGAGCUUGUUCCUUGAUCACACAGGCUGCUGUACCAGCUCUCUGAUACUGAAGAAUGUACAGUGCCAAAAAAUUUAUCAUGGUAGUCUGACAGGUUUAUGGUCUGUAAUCCUUGUUGAUUGGUAUUUAUAUUUCUCUGCUUUAAGUCUUUAUCAAUAUGAUCACAUAUUUUUGGUCAUUAUUUUCCAUGGGAUGUCUGUUGAAUAGACACACCUGUUUACUAAGCCAUCCUGUUUACUUUAUUAAUAUGCUGGCACAACAUCAACUUGCUUGUUCUCUGGAGCUUCUCCAGGUUUCCUUGUGUUACUGGAUCUCACCAUUAAUAGUUUGGAUGUUUAAAAAUGGAUGUUAUUUUUUUAGAUGCAGGAUACCCAGACUGAAGAGUUUUCAACAUUUGCCUUAUGCAACUGUUGUUUAAUAUCCUCCUGAGUUACUGUUAGAGUGGAAAGUGUUUCACCCUCGUGACAGGAGUGCUUCAUCUGGCUUCCUCCCAAAUGCAGGAGAGAGAUAUUUAUUGCCUUUCCUUCCUGCCCAGCUACCCACAGGCCCACUGCUCCCAGUCUGUAUCGGACAUGCAGCCAUGCUGGGUCGUGCCCACAGCCUGUCCUGCUGCUGCCCUGAGCUGCAUCCUCUCUGGGAGCCAUGAAGCUCAGAGUGGUGCCACCACUUCCCUGCAUCUCUCUGCAUCCAGUGAUCAGCAUGACAAACACCUGCUGCUUGUUUGCUCUCGUCCCAUCCCCAAGCAGUGGUGUGCACACAGAUGUCUUCUGUUUAAACAAGCAAAACAUAACAUUUUGUUUGUUUUUUUAACCUACAGAUCUUUUAAGUAGAUGUCAUUAAGCCUUUAUAGUGGAAGUGAAGUCUGUGAGGUGUGAGGGAAGAAGCAGCUGAAAAGAUAGGGGGACAGAGGAGUGAGGGGAACCUCUUCAGUUCUCCACUCUCCAUACCACAGCAGCUCCACCUGUAGCUCACAGAGGAGAGAAAACCACAUGGAAACAGCAGCAGAAGAUGCAUCUUUACUGACCUCUGGAAAGCUCAGAGACUGCUUGGAAGUCAAAGGCACAAACACAGGGAAACAACAGUCAUGUGUGCUGCCCACCCCAGCUGGCAGGCAAAGUCCAGCAAUUAAACACACCGGGGUGAAAGUCUGCUGUCAAAGCUGCAGUGCACCACCACGGUGCCAGCAAGCUCCCAGGUGAUGCUGGCACUGCCCCUUCCAUCUCAGGGAAUGCCUUUUUGCAGGAUCAAAUAGAAAAGGAUGGGAGGAUCUGUAAAUCAUCUUCUCACUCCCCAAGUGUAUUAAGAAUACUGAGAAACUUGCCACCUGAAGAGACUGAAACCACCUUCUUCCCACCCAGGUGCACAGUGAGCCUAAGCCAGUCUUCAAGACUGGCACCAGAAAAGGUACAACACUGCACCAGCAUCUCUCAUUACAUACAGAAAAAAUUAUCAUUACUAAUCCCUGAGGUCAUAACCUCUCAAUGAACUUCAUUCCUUUUCCAUUGCUUAGUUCUUACAGACCUUCCCAUCUGAUAGUCUGGUAAUUGUGUGCACUGAGGGUGGCUUCAGUAUUUGUGCCUUCAGCAAGUUACAUUAGCCCACGCCUGCUUUUUGCACCAGGGCAGAGCUGUGAGGGGAAAGAGAGGUGCCCUUGGCUCUGCAGGAGACAAGGAGCAGUGGAGGGAACAGUGCAAAGGAGGAAUGCAGAGGCUCCCACCCACCUCCAUCUCAUUGGGUCCCCUGCUAAGAAGGACCAGCAAGAUCCUCGUUAAAGUUAGAGUGAAAAUUGUGUGUUGUUAUCCAGGUAAGAAAUGGAGGAAGGAGCUUAAACUUUUCCAGACUGGAGCCUGGUGCAGCCCAGGCUGCUGGGAGCAAGCACAGGUUGUUUCUUGAA